AUGGUAACCUACAGCAUCUUUAAGCAUCUCUACAGUAACCUGAAGCAGCUCCACGGUAACCUACAGCAUAUCUAUGGUAACCUACAGCAUCUUUACGGUAACCCACAGCAUCUCUACAGUAACCUGAAGCAGCUCCACGAUAACUUACAGGAUCUCGACAAUUACCUACAGCAUAUCUAUGGUAACCUACAGCAUCUCCAUGCUAACCUACAUCGUUUCUAUGGUAAUCUGGAGCACCUCUGUGGGAGUUUGCAGAGGAGCAGACAGAGGUUCUGUGUAUUAUAGGGUUAUACCUCUGUACCUAGAUUAAAAUAAAUCUGUGUGCCUAUAUAAUGACAGGCCAAUAAAGACCAAAUCUGAACCUUAUUUCUCCCCAGUUUCUUCAUAUCCAACUGAAUCUUCAGCCUUGUCUCACCACAUCAGCCUUAACAGCAAGCUUUCCUGUGUCCGUUUCCCACAAUACAGUUGGGUAACCCGGCCAAUGGUCAGAAAGUACCAUGGGUGUGGCUCGCAUCUAGACUGUGGUGGUCAACUUGGUGUAACGAAGAACUGCCUUAGAUGGCUGCACAAUCUAGGAGACUGCCAGAAAGGGAUUGGAAUGGGCUAGUCCCUUUCUAGUGUCUUCUUGUAUUGCAGACAUCAUUUAUAAUGGAAAUGUGCCAUUCUAAAUCAUGUCCAAUUAAUGCAAUUUGCCAGGUGGACUCCAAUCCGGUUCUGGAGAUGUCUGGGUGAAUCUGGAGAUGUCUGGGUGAAUCUGGAGAUGUCUGGGUGAAUCUGGAGAUGUCUGGGUGAAUCUGGAGAUGUCUGGGUGAAUCUGGAGAUGUCUGGGUGAAUCUGAGCUCAAUGUGGUGACUCAUGGCAAAGGGUCUGACAUUUCUGCACUUAUUUCAACUGUUCGUUUUCAAUAAAAAUGUGUUUCUCGUUUAAUCAUUAUGGGCUAUUGUGUGUAGAUUAAUUGCAAAAUAAUAAAUGAUUAAUUAAAUCUAUAACAACUAAAUGUGUAGAAAAUGCUGAGUCUGAAUACUUUCCCUAGAUACUGAAUAAACCAUACAUAAAUCCUCUUUCACCCUCCCGCUUUCUCCCCCUCUCUCUCCUUUUUCUCCCCCCCUCUCUCCUUUUUCUCCCCCUCUCUCUCCCUC
rnacentral:lncRNA from 1 species